CGGGGGAUCUUGGGGUUAAUUUGGAACCACCGGGAGGACCUUUCCUGGCCCUGGCCAUGCGGGGACCUUUCCAAGGAGGGAUGGGUCCUUUGGGAAAUUGAGCCCCGGUUGCGCCAGGGCGGUGUUCAGUUGUGUUCUUGGGAGGUUGGGUUAAGUCCGCAACGAGGGCCAACCCUGGCCUUUAGUUCCCACCACCAAGGGUGUCACUCUAAGAGUUGCCAUCCUC
rnacentral:rRNA from 1 species